GGGAGGAUGCCCGAGUGGCUAAAGGGGGCGGGCUGUAAACCCGUUGGCUAUGCCUACGCAGGUUCGAAUCCUGCUCCUCCCA
rnacentral:tRNA from 1 species